UACAGAGACCCCAAGCAUUAUCCGGAAUUACUGGGCGUAAAGCGCGAGCAGCCGGUCGUAUUAGUCUGGUGUUAAAUUGUGGGGCCCAACCUCACAACCGCAUUGGAAACGGUACAACUCGAGCAGAUGAGAGGGAGGCAGAACGUAUGGUGUAGGGGUGAAAUCCACUGAUAUCAUACGGAAUACCAAAAGCGAAGGCAGCCUCCUAGCGUCUUGCUGACGGUCAAUCGCGAAAGCGUGGGGAUCAAAAAGG
rnacentral:rRNA from 1 species